rnacentral:rRNA from 1 species
GAUGAACGCUGGCGGCGUGCCUAAUACAUGCAAGUCGAGCGAACGGACGAGAAGCUUGCUUUUCUGAUGUUAGCGGCGGACGGGUGAGUAACACGUGGAUAACCUACCUAUAAGACUGGGAUAACUUCGGGAAACCGGAGCUAAUACCGGAUAAUAUUUUGAACCGCAUGGUUCAUAAGUGAAAGACGGUCUUGCUGUCACUUAUAGAUGGAUCCGCGCUGCAUUAGCUAGUUGGUAAGGUAACGGCUUACCAAGGCAACGAUGCAUAGCCGACCUGAGAGGGUGAUCGGCCACACUGGAACUGAGACACGGUCCAGACUCCUACGGGAGGCAGCAGUAGGGAAUCUUCCGCAAUGGGCGAAAGCCUGACGGAGCAACGCCGCGUGAGUGAUGAAGGUCUUCGGAUCGUAAAACUCUGUUAUUAGGGAAGAACAUAUGUGUAAGUAACUGUGCACAUCUUGACGGUACCUAAUCAGAAAGCCACGGCUAACUACGU